GUGCCAGCAGCCGCGGUAAUACGUAGGGUGCAAGCGUUAAUCGGAAUUACUGGGCGUAAAGCGUGCGCAGGCGGUUCGCUAAGACAGAUGUGAAAUCCCCGGGCUUAACCUGGGAACUGCAUUUGUGACUGGCGGGCUAGAGUAUGGCAGAGGGGGGUAGAAUUCCACGUGUAGCAGUGAAAUGCGUAGAGAUGUGGAGGAAUACCGAUGGCGAAGGCAGCCCCCUGGGCCAAUACUGACGCUCAUGCACGAAAGCGUGGGGAGCAAACAGGAUUAGAAACCCCUGUAGUCC
rnacentral:rRNA from 1 species